UACGGGGGGGGGCGAGCGUUGUUCGGAAUUACUGGGCGUAAAGGGUGCGUAGGCGGUGCUCUAAGUCGGAUGUGAAAACUCUGGGCUCAACCCAGAGCCUGCAUCCGAAACUGGAGUGCUAGAGUUCUGGAGGGGGUAGCGGAAUUCCUGGUGUAGCGGUGAAAUGCGUAGAUAUCAGGAGGAACACCGGUGGCGAAGGCGGCUACCUGGACAGAAACUGACGCUGAGGCACGAAAGCUAGGGGAGCAAACAGG
rnacentral:rRNA from 1 species